rfam:Capsella rubella cultivar Monte Gargano unplaced genomic scaffold scaffold_1, whole genome shotgun sequence.
CUUAUUUCUUAGUGCUUGUAGUCUGAAAAAACUCAGAAAUUUCCAGUGUUCUCAUCAGCUUCGUCUCAUCUUUUACCAUGAGGCUAGAGUUAAACAAGAACGCUACAUUA